rnacentral:rRNA from 1 species
AACGAACGCUGGCGGCAUGCCUAACACAUGCAAGUCGAACGAACCUUCGGGUUAGUGGCGGACGGGUGAGUAACGCGUGAGAAUCUGCCCUCAGGAGGGGGACAACAGCUGGAAACGGCUGCUAAUACCCCAUAUGCCGCGAGGUGAAAUGAAUUUCGCCUGAGGAUGAGCUCGCGUCUGAUUAGCUAGUUGGUGAGGUAAUGGCUCACCAAGGCAUCGAUCAGUAGCUGGUCUGAGAGGAUGAUCAGCCACACUGGGACUGAGACACGGCCCAGACUCCUACGGGAGGCAGCAGUGGGGAAUUUUCCGCAAUGGGCGAAAGCCUGACGGAGCAACGCCGCGUGAGGGAUGAAGGCCUCUGGGCUGUAAACCUCUUUUAUCAAGGAAGAAGAUCUGACGGUACUUGAUGAAUAAGCCACGGCUAAUUCCGUG